rnacentral:lncRNA from 1 species
CCGCCAUCGGCUGGGAUUACCAUUAAAACCUAUUUCCCAGUUUCCUUUAUCAUAUUCCACAGCUUGGCCAUUGUCAUCAGAUUCCACAGCUUGGCCAUUGUCAUCAGAUUCCACAGCUUGGCCAUUGUCAUCAGAUUCCACUGCUUGGACAUUGUCAUCAGACUCCAUUGCUUGGACAUUGUCAUCAGAUUCAGCCUCUUCAGUGCUGUUACUAAUGUUAGCAGUCCCCAUGUGGAUUGGAGUCAUGGGACUUCCCUUUUCAUCAUCCCACUCCUCAUCCAAGCUUCUUAAUGAU